AUCUAGAUAGUUUAUUAAAAAUACUAAUUUGUGGAAUUGGAGAUAUGAAUUUCAUUCUAGAUA
rnacentral:tRNA from 1 species